UCCCUUUCCUGUCUUUCUGCUUCUCCAACAAAAAGCCGUCUCAAAAUGCUUACCAAACCACAAGUUACAGACCACGCACACCAGAAGACCCCAGUUGCAAUCGGAAGCCAACCCCAUGGCUUCCACCGCAAACGCAUUCUCUCGCUCUCUCUCCGCCACCAAUUCUUCCAUCUCCAAGCCUAAAGCUUUGUCCGACUACUAUCUGCGUUUUAAAAACCCUAACGCUAUAUCUUUGCGUUCGAAAACGGUAGGGAUCCCGGUGCUGAGUUUCGGCGGAAUUAGGUCGCCGAGGAUAUCUGCCAGUUCUGCUCAGGUUAUGGAUCAGUCUGUUGGUGAAGCAAGUUCUAAAGCGCCUACCGUUGUUGAAGUCGAUUUGGGCAACCGGAGC
rnacentral:misc_RNA from 1 species